AAAAUGAAACAGACCAUUCCAGAUGGUGAUCUGCCUUCCCCCUAUCAAAAAGAGCUAUAAUCACUAAAUAAUAAUGGUUACUGGUACCUUUACAAUGAUGUGCAAUCCAAUGUUUAAAACUUAUACCACCUCAGUUUGGUUUGAUGAUAUAAAUUUUCAACAGAUGUCUUAAAAUUUAAAAGCAGGCCGAUUAGUUUGGAAGCAGACCUCACGUAGAGCUAACAUUUGGUGACUAAGACAACUUCAUGUUACAUUUUGGAUGUAUGAAAGAAAACUUGACCAUUUGAAGAUGUAUGAAUAAAGAAAUGUACUAUAGAUACUACUUUAGGAAAACACUGUUUGUAGUCGUGAAAGAUGCCAAAUUGGCAGAGGCUCACGUUCCUUCUCUUUACACCAAACAGAGAGAGAACAUCACUGCCUGAAUUUAGCUUUGUGACUACAUGAGCAAGCCCUGUUUGUCCUGUCUGGAGACGACUGUUAAUAAUAGCAUCUUGUCAUUUGGUUUGCUCUCUAUCAAUCUGAAUAGAUGUUUACAUGCACCGUGAUGACCAUUCUAUCUUUACAGUUCUGUACAAGUCCAUCUGAGUCCAGACGUGUAUCAAACGUGUGAGGUUUAUGACCUUAUCUAGAAAUGUUUUCUUCCUGUCAUAGCAAUUCAAUUUGUAAAACACCUUUAAGGAACAAGGCCUUUUAAUUUCCUUAUGAGAUGUAUUAUGUCUCAGGCAAACUGAGAGAUAUGUUUGGGAAAUCUAUAAAGCCAUGAGAGCAUUAACUGAACAAUUUAGAAUGAAGAAA
ensembl:processed_transcript Gm17066 predicted gene 17066